UGGGUGAUGGCGCAACUGGUUAGCGCAUCUCUCUGAUAAGGAGAAGGUUCUGGGUUCAAGUCCCAGUCACCCAA
rnacentral:tRNA from 1 species